UAUGUUUUAAAGUAAGGUGGUAUAUUUUUCUUGAUUUUACUGUUUUAGCUUUUGUAAAGCUAAAACAGUAAAAUCAAGAAAAAUAUACCACCUUACUUUAAAACAUA